GUCUACGGCCAUGCCACCCUGAACGUGCCCUAUCUCGUCUGAUCUCGGAAGCUAAGCAGGGUCGGGCCUGGUUAGUACUUGGAUGGGAGACCACAUAGGAAGACUAGGUGCUGUAGGUG
rnacentral:rRNA from 1 species